rnacentral:rRNA from 1 species
AAUCUGUCUUAGUGGCGGACGGGUGAGUAACGCGUGGGCAACCUGCCCUGUACCGGGGGAUAACACUUAGAAAUAGGUGCUAAUACCGCAUAAUAGGGAAUACCGCAUGGUAAUCCUUUGAAAACUCCGGUGGUACAGGAUGGGCCCGCGUCUGAUUAGCUGGUUGGCAGGGUAACGGCCUACCAAGGCGACGAUCAGUAGCCGGCCUGAGAGGGUGGACGGCCACAUGGGACUGAGACACGGCCCAAACUCCUACGGGAGGCAGCAG